rnacentral:lncRNA from 1 species
GGCCAGAGGCCCUGCUCCCUGUCCAGUCUCACGCAUAAAGUAAGCUGCUGAGCUGCGGACAGAAGCUGAGAUUGCCUUGUUCCAUGAUGCUGUAAAGAUGCUGCUCUGUGCCGGGUGCUGGUCCCCAGCGUUGCCUCCGCUCAGCACCCAGCAGCCCCACAAGGGUGUCAACAGAGCAUCAGGAGGCACUGACCCCAGAGCCCCUCCACGUCCCCGGGAACGGCCGGCCCCCCGUCGCCGCCGAGGGCCCUCGACCAGGAUGGACAGCCAGGGGAAGGCUGCUUGUCUCCACGCCUCUCCGACGGCUCUUCUUCCGGCCCCUCCAGCCCAGGUGGAAUCCUUGAAGCUGGAGUCAGGACUGCCGGGCUUGCGGAGACGUGGGCUCCCCAGGAAGUGCUGAGCCCAUGAUCAGAGCUGCACCCCCACAAGAAGUCACCAUGUGGAUCCCCAGAGGGGAUACUCCGGAAGUGCUUCCAUUCGGCCACCAGCAGCUGUGAUGUCCCCUGACCGUGCAUCCUGGGUCCCAGGGGAUGGUGGGUAGGGGAGCCAGGCGAGGAAGUGAGUCACAGCCCUGUGGGGUGAGCUCCCCGAGGGGAAGGGAUUGCGUAGAGUACUUGGGGGAAUUUGUGAGCCUUCAAGCUGGCCUCUGCUGCGACAGGGGCCAGCAGCCUCGUCCGCUCUGUAGUCCACUCCGGCUGCUCCCUGUAGCCAGGGGUGCGGCAUGGCAGGAACAGGCCACAGGGCAAGGGAGGAGUGUGGUGGGCUCAGAAGGCUCUG